CAAUGCCUCUUUUUCUCUCAGAACCGAGAGAAGGAAAGAAGAGAAAGAAAAGAUGGGGAAACUUUUCUCAUUUUUGCGAUCUACGGGGAUCCAACGGUUUGAUCUUCAAUCCGUCUACGGAAACGUAAUCCUUGAAGCCCGAUCUACGUUUUGACCGAACUUUUUAAGGAUAGUGUCCGGAUUGGAGACUUUAAUGGGUUCUCCAAUGUAGAGUUCGAGUCAUGUGUCCAAUGCAGCCAAGAUGAUGUUCUUUUGGCUGCAGGUAUUCCGGUCGUAGUUGAUAGCAUUGUAGAAGGGUAUUUUGGAUGUUAUGACUGAAGCACGCCGCAACGGUCGUAAUUGGUGGACCACGGGUUGUCCACUUGUUUAUAGGUUUAGUUUAUGGCUUGUGACGUUUGUGUCACUUGUUAUUGUACAAAACCAUUUAUGUCACUUAUUUAAUUCGUGGAAAGAUUUAAUCAUAUAGAUACUUAAUGGCUCUUUGUUGUAAUUAUUUGUGAUAGAUGUAUAAGAUGUGAUUUCCGCUAUUAGGUUAUGUUUUCCGCUGCAUAGUUGAUAGAUGUUAUACUCUGAUUUACCAGGUACAUAUUAUGGGGUAUGUACAUAUGUUGGCUUUGCGACAUAUCGUCGUGCCACUGUGAAGAUCCGUUUAUAUUUUAAGGGAUUAAUGAUUAUGUGGAUGUUUUGUAGCAAAAAAAAAAAAAAAAAAAAAAAAAAAAAAAAAAAAAAAAAAACGGGUCGUCACAAGUUUCAUUUUCCCCUUGAUCGGCAGACAACUGGCAUGGAUCCAAUAACGAGAAGACAUGUAUGUGACAUAAUAAAUGAUGCAAAGAAAGGUCGUGCCAUUGUCCUAACAACACAUUCAAUGGAAGAAGCUGAUAUUUAAAGUGACCGCAUAGGAAUCAUGGCCAAGGGUAGGCUUCGCUGCAUUGAAACCUCAAUCAGGUUGAAGUCACAGUUUGGCACUGGUUUCAUUGCUAAUGUAAGGAGCUGCAGUUUCUACAGUUCAUCAUGAGGCUGUGAAGCAGUUUUUCAAAGAUAAAUUUUUUGAGGAG